AGGAGAGCUGACCUGAGCUGACCAAAGGGACACCCCACACCAUGGAGUGCCAUGUCCAGUGCAGAAACUGGGGAAUUGAUCAGGAGCUGCCUGGGGACAGGCUGGGCACUGGCCAGUGCAUGCUACACUAUGAAUUUAUGGGAUGGAAAGGACAAGAAUGUGGCUUUCAGAAGCUAUUUUAGGAUGACCUGUGAAAAGGAUUGCCAUCAGUCCAUGGCAUGUGGUUCAUAUCAGAAUGUAGAGAAGGAUACAGCCUCUUUCACUAACCUUGGUCAAGGUACUAAUUCAUACAAUGACCAAAUGGAAGGAACUUGGAGUUGCACAGCAGGAAGUCCAAAGAUCUCCAUUUCAGCUGCAUCCUGUUAUACCUGUAUGCAGUGCCAGAGCUGAACGCACCAACUCCAAAGCUUUGGAAAACAAGUUUGCCACCAGCUCAGCGAUGCUAAAAGUGCCAGGGUAACCAUUCUGCUCAGCUUGUUGCCACCAUCUGGAACUAAGCAAAUUUUCUAACUCUGUUUUCAGCUUCGAUAACUAGAUAAGUUGUGACAGAGUUGGGGUGGAUUGUGCAGCCACUCAAAGCCAAAGACUGGAAUUCUUCAUAGAACACAAAAACAAACUCCACUGUAUUUAAUUAGCAGGAAACCCACACUUUUUUCCUCGAUAAAAAGAUGCAGAUUUGCAAACAUAAGUGACUUGAUUUUUUAAAAUUUGCAUUUAUUAGACAAGGAUGGAAAUCCAUUGACCUGGUGAGAGAGUUUGUGUGUUUUAAGGGAUGGUGAGAAUACAACCCCUGUGGCUGCCACUACUGCUUUUAUUUAAACUGCUCUCAUACCUAUUGCACUUCUGAAUUUGCUUCUCAGCCUACAGAACACACACAAGUUUUGGUGCCUGAAUAUUGAGAAAACAUGUAGAUACAGAAGGACAAAAGCUAUCAAAAAGGCUGUUAAGAAAAAAUAAAAAUUACCAGCAAGGUCUUAGCAGAAGCAAAUCUCUUUUGGACCAGACUUCAUGCGGUGAGUACUGAGAAACUUAUAUAAUUGGACUGACAGUUUGUUGGUUUCUUUUCCAGCAUCUGGUUGUCACUUGAACUACAAUGCAGCUCCAAUUAUAUUUUAUAGGGAGCAAUUUCAUUUUUAUAGUUUAGGAAUCCUUUGGAAUUAGUUUGUGAAAAGAAAUAAAAUAUUAAAAAAAAAAAGAAAAGAAGAAAAAGAAAAAGAAGAAAAAGAUUGGCUGGCCUCAGAGCUUCUAAAGAGAAAGUGAUAUCAGAAAUCCUAACCCAGACUGGCUGCUUAUAAUAGCUGCUACUGAAACUGUUAAUUCAAAGCAGUGCCCUGAAAUAUCUAUCAGUCUUGUCCUCCCUGCCCAUUUAAGGGGAAAGAAUGAAAUCCCAACAAAUUAUUGGGGAACAGUCCAAAAGUCUCAUCUCUCCUCUCUGCACAAGCUAGUAUGCUUCAGGAACAAAGACCUCAAAUGACAAAAUGACUCCUUCUUUUUCUCUUCUAAGUAAAUCCAUCCUCUUGGUGCUGGAAUUAAGGACAAAAAUAUUGUCCUUCAUCCUGAAUGCAGCACAACCCCUCUGAUCUCUUGCUUACAGAAGAUGGAUGUCCAACUUCUACAGAGCAGCAAAAUUAAUAACACUCUGUGUUUGUGGAGAGUAACCUAUCUUUCCAGCCUCAGAUACCCAGCAGCUCUCCUCAGUGAAAGUUUGGGAAAUUUCAUCUUUGGGAGACUGCAGUACACAGGCUUUUCUUAGAGAUGGUCUUUGCUUCAAGAGCUGAUUCCUGACAGUAGCUUUAGUCUGUACAACAGCAUUUCCUGGUGCACGCUAUUCUGACCUGAGUUUAUUUUAUACAGCACAGCAAUUUACAGUGGCCUUUUACCUAAGCAAGGCAGCAGUGGGGAGGUGGGUUGGGCAGGAGGAGGUGCAACAGUGACAGGAAGAUGCAGGGCAAUUCAGUAGCUCCUUUUUCUGCUGUCAGCAGUGAGACAGGGACAGUAAGUUACAGCCUGAAUGUCACCAAGCACCACUGACCCCUGCCAAGCUGAAUUACCUUCCAGGGUAACCUUCAGUUCUAUUCUAGCUAAUAAAAUGAUAUUUUUGGAAUGUACAAGGAAAAGGUGUUGAUGCAAAUAUGCCAUAGAGAUCCUGUGAUUAAACAAGAUGCUGAGUAUGAGUUUGUGCAGGUCUCCUAACUCACGUGCAGCUUCACACAUCUUUUGGAUAUCCUGCUUUUGGAGGCAAAAAAGAAUAAGAAGAAUAAGACUCUCCCCUACACUACACUGACACGACACAAAAACAAGUAUCUGUACAUCAGGUUUGUUAUACCAUGGAAAUUGUUAUGCUAUGGAAGCAUUUUCUAUUUGUGUUCUCAUAUCUAGUUGCCUGCUCGUCUAUAAAAAAAUGCCUACACUAUCACAUUUAUGUCCUUCUUGCAUCUAGGGAGCCAGCAUUAGAGGAUACAUAAAUCAUGACAUGGUCCAGUAGUCUAUUAAUUUGGAGGAAGGAAAGGAAAUUUAUUUAAUUAUGCAAGUGGCAUACUACACUGCUGUUACACAGUCAAGUGGCAGUUUUUGUAUUAACUAUUCAGAUUCAAAUGCUUCUGAAUUGUAACAGAAAGCACAUUUCCACUAGGCCUUCAUACUGUCUUGUCAUAGACAAAUCAGAAAAAAAUCAGGCUCUUGUUUUCUUUACCAUAUAACCUAGGACAGGUACCAGUCUUUUCCUCCAUUCACUCAGAACCACAGCCAAAUCAGUGGCCUUUUAGAUGACUUUACCUGUAUUUUUAUUUAUAGCUUCAACCUUUUCAUGGCAGAUGCUCACAAAUAAUAAGCCUGUUCUAAUAGCACAAUACAGCUUUAGAGUUUUAAAUAAAGAAUAGUCCCAUUGACUCUGAGAGCUUUCCACUCCUUUAAAUCUGAAGCAAGACAGACCGAAAUAUGUUCCUUCAUGUGCAGGCUGUGGUUAAUUAUCAGAGAUGCAUAUGUAUUUGUCUAAGAAUAUUAUUUAGUCUUUACCAUUUACAGUAAUGUUUUGAGAAGUAAGAGCCUGAUUCAUCCCUGUGCAAGCUCU